GUUAUAUCAUUUAGAAUUUCAAGUUUGAAAAUUUUAAUAAUUAAAAUCAGGAGAUUUUGUGCUAAUUGGUAUAGUAAUUAUACCUGCCAUACUGUGAUUUAACUUUAAUUAAAGUGCAUACCUGGAGUAUACCUGGAGAGGGUUUCGGGGGGUUAACGCCCCCGCCGCUCGGUCUGAGACAUGAUCUUCUUACAGCUGUGAGUGUGGACAUGAUGGCUGCCCAGCUCGCUUGCCCAUCAAGCUAUCAGCACCACUGUCACUUCUGCCAGGCCCUCUGAGGUUCUCUGUCUACACCCACCCUCGCUACUCACUCUAGAUACCAUGAUGACGCUGGUUAUGGGAGGAGCCGUGGCUGAAAGAUUUAUUGGUUCUGUGGUUGAGGAGCACAAGGCCAAGUCAACCGGACCUCAUCCACCCGGAGUCCAGACCGGAAACUCUAGCAACGUCCACCCCGGCAGACAUGACGAUGGUGGGCGCUUGGACAGUUACGUGAUUAUUGUAGCUCUGGUGAGCACGAUCUUCCCACUCAUUUGCCUGAUUCUCAGCCUCGUCAUUGCCAGG